rnacentral:rRNA from 1 species
CACGUAGGGCGCAAGCGUUGUCCGGAAUUAUUGGGCGUAAAGAGCUCGUAGGCGGUCUGUUGCGUCUGCUGUGAAAACCCGGGGCUUAACCCCUGGCUUGCAGUGGAUACGGACAGACUAGAGGUAGGUAGGGGAGAAUGGAAUUCCCGGUGUAGCGGUGAAAUGCGCAGAUAUCGGGAGGAACACCGGUGGUGAAGGCGGUUCUCUGGGCCUUACUUGACGCUGAGGAGCGAAAGCGUGGGGAGCGAACAGG